GACGAACGCUGGCGGCGUGCUUAACACAUGCAAGUCGAACGGAAAGGCCCUGCAUUUGUGGGGUGCUCGAGUGGCGAACGGGUGAGUAACACGUGAGUAACCUGCCCUUGACUUUGGGAUAACUUCAGGAAACUGGGGCUAAUACCGGAUAGGAGCUCCUGCUGCAUGGUGGGGGUUGGAAAGUUUCGGCGGUUGGGGAUGGACUCGCGGCUUAUCAGAUUGUUGGUGGGGUAGUGGCUUACCAAGGCUUUGACGGGUAGCCGGCCUGAGAGGGUGACCGGCCACAUUGGGACUGAGAUACGGCCCAGACUCCUACGGGAGGCAGCAGUGGGGAAUAUUGCACAAUGGGCGGAAGCCUGAUGCAGCAACGCCGCGUGCGGGAUGACGGCCUUCGGGUUGUAAACCGCUUUCGCCUGUGACGAAGCGUGAGUGACGGUAAUGGGUAAAGAAGCACCGGCUAACUACGUG
rnacentral:rRNA from 1 species